rnacentral:rRNA from 1 species
CCGUGAGGGAAAGGUGAAAAGCGCCCCGGUGAGGGGUCGUGAAAUAGUACCUGAAACCGUGUGCCUACAAGCCGUAGGAGCGUAGACGUCUUCGGGCGUCUGUGAUGUGACUGCGUGCCUUUUGAAGAAUGAGCCUGCGAGUUAUGGUGUGUGGCGAGGUUAACCCGUGUGGGGGAGCCGUAGCGAAAGCGAGUCUGAAUAGGGCGUUUGAGUCGCAUGCUGUAGACCCGAAGCGGGGUGAUCUACGCAUGGGCAGGUUGAAGCGUGGGUAAGACUGCGUGGAGGACCGAACCCACCAGGGUUGAAAACCUGGGGGAUGACCUGUGUGUAGGGGUGAAAGGCCAAUCAAACUCCGUGAUAGCUGGUUCUCCCCGAAAUGCAUUUAGGUGCAGCGUUGCGUGUUUCUUGCCGGAGGUAGAGCACUGGAUGGCCGAUGGGCCCGACAAGGUUACUGACGUCAGCCAAACUCCGAAUGCCGGUAAGUGAGAGCGUGGCAGUGAGACUGCGGGGGAUAAGCUUCGUAGUCGAGAGGGAAACAGCCCAGAUCACCGACUAAGGCCCCUAAGCGUGUGCUAAGUGGGAAAGGAUGUGGAGUUGCUGUGACAACCAGGAGGUUGGCUUAGAAGCAGCCACCCUUGAAAGAGUGCGUAAUAGCUCACUGGUCAAGUGAUUCCGCGCCGAUAAUGUAGCGGGGCUCAAGUACACCGCCGAAGUCGUGGCACUCACGCACGUUGUGUGUGGGUGGGUAGGGGAGCGUCGUGCGACCGGUGAAGCGGCGGAGUGAUCCAGCCGUGGAGGUUGUUCGAGUGAGAAUGCAGGCAUGAGUAGCGAAUCAGAAGUGAGAAACUUCUGCGCCGGAUGACCAAGGGUUCCUGGGCUAGGCUAAUCCGCCCAGGGUAAGUCGGGGCCUAAGGCGAGGCCGACAGGCGUAGUCGAUGGAUAACGGGUUGAUAUUCCCGUACCCGCUGCGAUGCGCCCAUAUCGAAUCCAGUGAUACUAAGGGUCCUUAGCCCCUGCUGUCCUUCGGGAUGGUGGUGAGGGUGAACGCCUGGCCUGAUCUGGUAGUAGGUAAGCGAUGGGGUGACGCAGGAAGGUAGCCCAUCCCGGGCGAUGGUUGUUCCCGGGGUAAGCAUGUAGGGCGGCAGAUAGGCAAAUCCGUCUGCCUUGUGCCUGAGAUGUGAUGCCGAGCCGAUUGUGGUGAAGUGGGUGAUCCUAUGCUGCCGAGAAAAGCCUCUAGUGAGUGUCGUGGCGGCCCGUACCCGAAACCGACUCAGGUGGUCAGGUAGAGAAUACUAAGGCGUUCGGGUGAACUGUGGUUAAGGAACUCGGCAAAUUGCCCCCGUAACUUCGGGAGAAGGGGGGCCUCUGUUGGUGUAGGAGUUUUCCUCCGAAGCUGGUGGAGGCCGCAGUGGCCAGGGGGAAGCGACUGUUUACUAAAAACACAGGUCCGUGCGAAGUCGUAAGACGAUGUAUACGGACUGACGCCUGCCCGGUGCCGGAACGUUAAGGGGACCGGUUAGUCAUCUUUCGGGGUGGCGAAGCUGAGAACUUAAGCGCCGGUAAACGGCGGUGGUAACUAUAACCAUCCUAAGGUAGCGAAAUUCCUUGUCGGGUAAGUUCCGACCUGCACGAAUGGCGUAACGACUUCCCCGCUGUCUCAACCACAGACCCGGUGAAAUUGCACUACGAGUAAAGAUGCUCGUUACGCGCAGCAGGACGGAAAGACCCCGGGACCUUCACUACAGCUUGACAUUGGCGUUUGGAGCGUCUUGUGUAGGAUAGGUGGGAGACUGGGAAGCUCUGACGCUAGUUGGGGUGGAGUCAUUGGUGAAAUACCACUCUGGUCGUUUUGAACGUCUAACCCGCGCCCGUGUAUCCGGGUGGGGGACAGUGUCUGGUGGGUAGUUUAACUGGGGCGGUUGCCUCCUAAAGGGUAACGGAGGCGCCCAAAGGUUCCCUCAGCCUGGUUGGUAAUCAGGUGUCGAGUGUAAGUGCACAAGGGAGCUUGACUGUGAGACUGACGGGUCGAGCAGGAGCGAAAGCUGGGACUAGUGAUCCGGCAUCGGCUUGUGGAAGCGGUGUCGCUCAACGGCUAAAAGGUACCCCGGGGAUAACAGGCUGAUCUUCCCCAAGAGUCCAUAUCGACGGGAUGGUUUGGCACCUCGAUGUCGGCUCGUCGCAUCCUGGGGCUGGAGUAGGUCCCAAGGGUUGGGCUGUUCGCCCAUUAAAGCGGUACGCGAGCUGGGUUUAGAACGUCGCGAGACAGUUCGGUCCCUAUCCGCUGCGCGCGCAGGAGACUUGAGAGAGGCUGUCCCUAGUACGAGAGGACCGGGACGGACGAACCUCUGGUGUGCCAGUUGUUCCGCCAGGAGCACGGCUGGUUGGCUACGUUCGGAAGGGAUAACCGCUGAAAGCAUCUAAGCGGGAAGCUCGUCUCGAGAUGAGGUCUCCCACCCUUGU